rnacentral:sRNA from 14 species
GUUUUGUUACUUUUCUUACCCCAACAAGGAGUAGAAUAAUCGAAAGAGUUUUAAUUCAAUAUUGACAGCACGCGGCACAAUAUCCUGUGCUGUAGUCUAACUUUAAUCAAAAACAAUAUGAGGGAGAAUUCUAAUCCUACAAACUUCAACUGGUGGUGGUGCUGGCAAAGUUGGCUGCUUAUAAAUGUCAAUACAAUUACCAGCUCCAUAGCCAAUGAAAACUAUAAGACAUUCUUUGUGAGUGUGGCAAGAGGAGAUCCAUCAUCCAUGGUUGUUAUGACCGUCUACUUUACCCCUUCUUCAUCAUAGACAUCCUCAAAAGGCAACUCACCCUGUCUUUGUUAGUUUUUUUGUAUAUCGGAGCCAAAGAACUUCUGUUCAUGAGUUGGAGAGAGAGAGACAGAGAGCAAGAGUUUCAUAAAAUACAGGCUGCAAACAAGAGGAUUUGAAGAAAAAUCUAAAUAAAUUGUGCAUGGGGGUUAUACAACGAUGAAGAAGACAAUGGGCCCACACAAUUUUAUAAAUUUUCUCGGAAUUUGAUUGGAAAAUAAAAACAAAGCAUUUAAGCACA